rnacentral:tRNA from 1 species
GGGGCCUAAUGCUAGGCCCCGAGCCCUUAAAACCCUAAGUGAUGUAAAACAUCCAAGCCUCUAA